GUUCACCAAGGGGAGCCCACUGGCCUCUAGCCCCUGUGGUGAACAUUUGAUGGCCAUGCUGGUGGACCAUCUUAGAAACAGACCAUCCCCACCAGUUAAGUCUUGAGAUGAGUGACUACAACCUUGGCUAACAUCUUCACUACAUUUCAGCAUUGAAGCCAGAACCACUCAGCCACCGCAGUUCCAGAUACCUGACCUUCUAAAACUGUCCACAGUUGGCACAGCCCUAAUGUCCAUCACCCGUUGAGCUGAUGAAAUGAGGCUAGAUGGUGCAAUGGAAUCAUAUCUGCAAGAGGAAUGAAGUACUGUGACCUGCUGUAACUUGAGUAACACUUGAAAACAUUAUGGAAAUGGGAGAUUCAGUCACAAAAGACCCCAUAUGGGGGUUGUAUUGUUAUGUGGAAAUGUACAAACUAUUGUAUUUUAAGGUCAACUGUAAACCAUUAAUCCCCCAAUAAAGAAAAAAAUUUAAAAGACCCCA